AGCCCCGUGGUGAUAACACGUCGAAUUGCAAAUUCGGAGAGGCAGAUUAAUAUUCUGCCGGGGCUU
rnacentral:tRNA from 1 species